rnacentral:tRNA from 1 species
GGUGUCAUGGCCGAGCGGUUAGGCAGAGGUCUGCAAAACCUCGUACAGCGGUUCGAAUCCGCUUGACACCUCCA